rnacentral:rRNA from 1 species
AAAAACAUGUCCUUUUGCUUGUUUAUUUAAGGUCUGACCUGCCCAAUGAGGAAUUGAAUGGCCGCAGUAUUCUAACUGUGCUAAGGUAGCAUAAUCAUUUGUCUUUUAAUUGAGGGCUGGAAUGAAGGGUUGGACGAGGUAUUAACUUUCUUUAAUUUAAUUUUAAGAAUUUAAUUUUUGAGUUAAAAAGCUUAAAUUUAUUUAUGGGACGAGAAGACCCUAUAGAUCUUUAUAGUUUUAUAUUUUGGUAAUUUGGAGAUUUAUUUACUUUAAGUAGACUAACUAUUUUGUUGGGGUGACUGUAGAAUUUGAAUAACUUCUAUUUUUUAUUUUCAUUAAUUAGUGUUUUUUUGAUCCAUAUUUUAUGAUUAGAAGAUUAAGUUACUUUAGGGAUAACAGC